rnacentral:rRNA from 1 species
GACGAACGCUGGCGGCGUGCUUAACACAUGCAAGUCGAACGAUGAACCCGGAGCUUGCUCCGGUGGAUUAGUGGCGAACGGGUGAGUAACACGUGAGUAACCUGCCCUUGACUCUGGGAUAACUGCGGGAAACUGUAGCUAAUACCGGAUACGACCCUCGGCGGCAUCGCCAGGGGGUGGGAAGAAUUUCGGUCAAGGAUGGACUCGCGGCCUAUCAGCUAGUUGGUGAGGUAACGGCUCACCGAGGCGACGACGGGUAGCCGGCCUGAGAGGGUGACCGGCCACACUAGGACUGAGACACGGCCCAGACUCCUACGGGAGGCAGCAGUGGGGAAUAUUGCACAAUGGGCGCAAGCCUGAUGCAGCAACGCCGCGUGAGGGAUGACGGCCUUCGGAUUGUAAACCCCUUUCGGCAGGGAGGAUGGAACGGGUAACCGUUCGGACGGUACCUGCAGAAGCAGCCACGGCUAACUUCGUGCCAGCAGCCGCGGUAA